UCCAUCCUUUCUCACUCACCCACUCUAACUCCCAUCCCUUCUCGAUUUUUCUUUGUUGACCUUCUCUCUCUCUCUCUCAAGAAGUGACUCCCGACGGGGAAGCAAUUUGGGAUCUAGUGACAAGCCGUCAGCUGUUCAUGGUUCUGUUUCUGCUGUAAUAUCAAUUCUCAAGGAUCCUGUAAGAAGCUGUCCUCACUUCAAGAUUAUUUAACGGGAGCAUGCACCCCUCAGCCACCAAAAAUAACUUCUCAGAAAAUAGCCCAACAAACUGAUGCUAAGAAACACCAGACAGCUAAAAAAAAAAAUAGCAAGUAUGAUCAGGAACGGUCAGCAACCCAAUCACAAGUGAAAUGCAUUAAUUCAGCUAAUGCAAGAAGAAGUGACUCCUGACGGGGAAGCCAAUUUGGUAUGUUUUGAUCCAUCUGCAUAGUAUUCUACUGU